rnacentral:rRNA from 1 species
AUUGAACGCUGGCGGCAGGCCUAACACAUGCAAGUCGAACGAGUGGCGGACGGGUGAGUAAUGUCUGUGAAACUGCCCGAUUGAGGGGGAUAACUACUGUAAACGGUAGCUAAUACCGCAUACCCUCUGAUGUGCCCCGAUGGGAUUAGAUUGUAGGUGAGGUAACGGCUCACCUAGGCGACGCUCCCUCGCUGGUCUGAGAGGAUGACCAGCCACACUGGAACUGAGAAACGGUCCAGACUCCUACGGGAGGCAGCAGUGGGGAAUAUUGCACAAGGGGCGCAAGCCUGAUGCAGCCAUGCCGCGUGUAUGAAGAAGGCCUUCGGGGUGUAAAGUACUUUCAGCGGGGAGGCGUUACCCGAAGAAGAAGCACCGGCUAACUCCGUGCCAGCAGCCGCGGUAAUUC